rnacentral:rRNA from 1 species
GACGAACCGUGCGAACGUUAUUCGGAAUCAUUGGGCUUAAAGAGCGCGUAGGCGGCCCGCCAAGUGCAUCGGUGAAAUGCGAUCGGCUCAACCGUCGUAUGGCCGUGCAGACUGGCGGGCUCGAGGGAGGUAGGGGCCGGCGGAACUUCCGGUGGAGCGGUGAAAUGUGUUGAGAUCGGAAGGAACGCCAGUGGCGAAAGCGGCCGGCUGGAUCUCUACUGACGCUGGAGGCGCGAAAGCCUAGGGGAGCGAUCGGG